UGGGGUAUAGCUCAGUUGGUAGAGUGCUUGCCUCACACACACAAGGUCCUGGGUUCAAUCCCCAGUAUCACAA
rnacentral:tRNA from 1 species